rnacentral:lncRNA from 1 species
CUGACAUUCUUAGCGUCCAAUGAUCUUUGAUGAAAACGUGUUAACAAAUAACCAAAUAAUAAUGGUAUCAUAGUAUGGUUCCGGUUUAGCUCUACAAGCAUUAUACAUAAUUAAUUUCUUAUGACCGUGUACAAAACAAGCAAACAUAACUUUUUAGAGCCUAAAACUGAAAAAUUGCAAAAACUUAUUCAAGACCGCUGCCCAUUUCAGUCGGCCAUAUGGAGAUUUGAAACACCUAAAUGAUAAUCUCUGAAACCAAAAAAUUUAGCGCU